rnacentral:rRNA from 1 species
GAUGAACGCUGGCGGCGCGCCUACCACAUGCAAGUCGAACGGUUAAAGCACCUUUUAGGUGUGUAUAAAGUGGCGAACGGCUGAGUAACACGUGGGCAACCUGCCCUCCUCUUGGGGAUAGCCUCGGGAAACCGAGGAUAAUACCCGAUACUUCAAUGUGGCCGCAUGACGACAUUGAGAAAGCUUUUGCGGAGAAGGAUGGGCCCGCGGCCUGUUAGCUUGUUGGUGGGGUAGAGGCCUACCAAGGCAAUGAUGGGUAGCUGGGUUGAGAGACCGACCAGCCAGAUUGGGACUGAGACACGGCCCAGACUCCUACGGGAGGCAGCAGUGGGGAAUCUUGCACAAUGGGCGAAAGCCUGAUGCAGCGACGCCGCGUGCGGGACGAAGGCCUUCGGGUUGUAAACCGCUUUCAGCAGGGACGAGGCGAUAAGUGACGGUACCUGCAGAAGAAGCCCCGGCUAACUACGUG